AUUGAACGCUGGCGGCAUGCCUUACACAUGCAAGUCGAACGGUAACAGGUCUUCGGAUGCUGACGAGUGGCGAACGGGUGAGUAAUACAUCGGAACGUGCCCGAUCGUGGGGGAUAACGAAGCGAAAGCUUUGCUAAUACCGCAUACGAUCUACGGAUGAAAGCAGGGGACCGCAAGGCCUUGCGCGAACGGAGCGGACGAUGGCAGAGUAGGUAGUUGGUGGGAUAAAAGCUUACCAAGCCGACGAUCUGUAGCUGGUCUGAGAGGACGACCAGCCAUACUGGGAAUGUGACCCGGCGCAGACUCCUACGGGAGGCAUCAGUGGGGAAUUUUGGACAAUGGGCGAAAGCCUGAUCCAGCCAUGCCGCGUGCAGGAUGAAGGCCUUCGGGUUGUAAACUGCUUUUGUACGGAACGAAAAGACUCUGGUUAAUACCUGGGGUCCAUGACGGUACCGUAAGAAUAAGCACCGGCUAACUACGUGCCAGCCGCCGCCGUAAGAC
rnacentral:rRNA from 1 species